GGCACUGUGACUUAGUUGGUCAAAGCACCUGUCUAGUAAACAGGAGAUCCUGAGGUUCAAAUCCCAGCAGUGCCU